GACGAACGCUGGCGGCGUGCCUAAUACAUGCAAGUAGAACGCUGAAGGAGGAGCUUGCUUCUCUGGAUGAGUUGCGAACGGGUGAGUAACGCGUAGGUAACCUGCCUGGUAGCGGGGGAUAACUAUUGGAAACGAUAGCUAAUACCGCAUAAUAGUAGAUGUUGCAUGACAUUUGCUUAAAAGGUGCAAUUGCAUCACUACCAGAUGGACCUGCGUUGUAUUAGCUAGUUGGUGGGGUAACGGCUCACCAAGGCGACGAUACAUAGCCGACCUGAGAGGGUGAUCGGCCACACUGGGACUGAGACACGGCCCAGACUCCUACGGGAGGCAGCAGUAGGGAAUCUUCGGCAAUGGACGGAAGUCUGACCGAGCAACACCGCGUGAGUGAAGAAGGUUUUCGGAUCGUAAAGCUCUGUUGUAAGAGAAGAACGAGUGUGAGAGUGGAAAGUUCACACUGUGACGGUAUCUUACCAGAAAGGGACGGCUAACUACGUG
rnacentral:rRNA from 1 species